rnacentral:rRNA from 1 species
AUUGAACGCUGGCGGCAGGCCUAACACAUGCAAGUCGAACGGUAACAGGAAGAAGCUUGCUUCUUUGCUGACGAGUGGCGGACGGGUGAGAAAUGUCUGGGAAACUGCCUGAUGGAGGGGGAGAACUACUGGAAGAGGUGGCUAAUACCGCAGAACGCGGCAAGAACAAAGGGGGGGACCUGGGGGCCUCGUGGGCCUGGAUUUGCCCGGAUGGGCUUAGCGAGUGGGUGGGGUACUGGCUCACCGAGGGGACGGUCCCUAGCUGGGUUGAGAGGAGGACCACCCACACUGGAACUGGGACCCGGUCCAGACUCCUACGGGAGCAAGCAGUGGGGAAUAUUGCACAAUGGGCGCAGGCCUGAUGCAGCCCUGCCGCGUGUAUGAAGAAGGCCUUCGGGUUGUAAAGUACUUUAAGCGGGGAGGAAGGGAGUAAAGUUAAUACCUUUGCUCAUUGACGUUACCCGAAGAAGAAGCACCGGCUAACUACGUG